rnacentral:rRNA from 1 species
CACAGGUGCUGCAUGGCUGUCGUCAGCUCGUGUCGUGAGAUGUUGGGUUAAGUCCCGCAACGAGCGCAACCCUUACUUUUAGUUGCCACCAUUUAGUUGAGCACUCUGAAAGAACUGCCAGUGAUAAGCUGGAGGAAGGUGGGGACGACGUCAAGUCCUCAUGGCCCUUACGUGUUGGGCUACACACGUGCUACAAUGGCACUCACAAUAGGAAGCAAAGAGGUGACUCUAAGCAAAUCCUAAAAAAGUGCCUCAGUUCGGAUUGUACUCUGCAACUCGAGUACAUGAAGCUGGAAUUGCUAGUAAUCGCGGAUCAGCGCGCCGCGGUGAAUACGUUCCCGGG